rnacentral:lncRNA from 1 species
UUUUAAAUAAUAAUAAUAUUUGAAAAAUACAAAAAAUAUAAAUUACAUUUUGACCCUAAAUUUUUCCCAAAAAUUUCACUUUAUCCCCAAAAGUUUUGCUACAUUUGUAAUUUGGUCCUUCUGGCAGCUGCCAGCGCGAUCUACGCACCUGCCCUCCGUGAUUUUCGGCCGCCGACCUAGGGCAUGGCCCCCUCCUCCCUAGCCACCUAAUCCCUGCAAUAAUCAGCAAUAAAAAUAACAAAUGAAGGCAAGAAAAAAAAGGAAUGAACUCAGAGCAAAAAUAAAAAAAAAGCGAAAAGAAAAAAAACUCAAGCAAAAACACCAAAAAACAGCAACCUCACCAUCAUUAUGCAUCGUCGUGCCGCCACCGUCAUCACCGCAAUCACCGCCAUCACCGUCGUACCUAAGCAAGUAAGCAAAACAAAACGAAAAAGGGGAGAAAAGAGAAGAAAGAAGAAAAAAGAAAGGAAGAGAAGGGAAAAGAAAAAAGGAGGAAAAAAGGAAGAAGAGAAGGAAGAAAAGAAGGAGAAGGGAAGAAGGGGACGCACCGGCGACCGUCGCACCGUCGACCAAGGAGACAGCGGUGACGGUGAAGGAGGUUAGGGUUUGAAAAGGAAGAAGAAAGAAGGAAAGAAAAAGAAGAAAAAAGAAAAAAGAAGAAAAAUAAAAAAAUAAAUAAACACAGUCGGGCCGACUCGACUCAACCCAAAAAACAGUAGUCCCCAGCAAAAUAGGCCGUUCCAGUAGGCCCAGACCUAGCCAAGCCCAACAGUCCCAGGCAGCCAGCUAGCAGGCCUGUCCAGCAAUGGCCCAACAGUACUAGGCAGCCUAAUCCAGCAGGCCUAGCAGCAGCCUAGGUCCUGCAGGCUAGGCCUGUCCCAGCGGCCUAGUCCAGAAAAGCAAAAAAAAGAAAAAAAAAAGUAGGCCAACAAAUCCAGUAGCCCUGCAGGCCCGUUCCAGCGCAGGCCCAACAGCAGGCCUGUCCAGUUCAAUCCCUGCGCCAGCCCAGCAGACUGCAGUAGCCCAACAGCAGGCCCAGUAGUGCCCAGCCCAGCAGCAAGCAGGCCAGUAGCAGCCAACCCA